rnacentral:rRNA from 1 species
UACAGGGGGUGCAAACGUUGCUCGGAAUUAUUGGGCGUAAAGCGCGCGUAGGCGGCUACUUAAGUCGGAUGUGAAAGCCCUUGGCUCAACUGAGGAAGUGCACCCGAAACUGAGUAGCUGGAGUACGAAAGAGGGUCGCGGAAUUCCCGGUGUAGAGGUGAAAUUCGUAGAUAUCGGGAGGAACACCGGUGGCGAAGGCGGCGACCUGGGUCGAUACUGACGCUGAGGCGCGAAAGCUAGGGGAGCAAACGGG